rnacentral:lncRNA from 1 species
ACGUUUUUGAACAGUUUAUUUAUUCACACAAUAGUUUAUCUCCCUUUGAAAGCUAGCAUAUGAAGAUCACUUAUUUACCUUGUUUUGUUGUUUUUCCACAUGGUAAAACCUUGAUCGUCCCCUAAUUCUCAUAAAGGUCAAUGUUUUAAAAUUUAUGCACAUACCAGAAUCACCGAAAGCAAUGUGCAAAGCUCUGGGAAAACUAGUGCUUGAAUGUUUUUAAAGUGGCAGAAGAUUACAAUUCAGGGAUAAACCCUGUAAGGAACUGUAUUUUUUACCUUAUGGGUAAAACUUGUUUUCAAAGUGGUAUAUUUCGGAUGAUUACAAUCCAGAACUAAAUCCCAUGGCAGACAACAUCCGUUUUAGGGGAACUUCUGAGCUAAGAUAAUAGAAAGAAAAAUUAAGAAUAUUACUUUUCCCUGAUGAGAAUUUCUGACUUUGAUACAUACUUUUUUCCAAAUGUCAUUUAAGGUGACAUACGACACACUCAGAAUAUAACUCUUAAAUCUGUCUCUUGUAAAUACAAGAAUGGGCAAAAUUACGUACAUUAGUUACAGGAAGAACAUAGGAAGGCGGUGCACUUAGCAUCACAUAAGAACGUUAAGGCCUUAGAUACCUGGCUGUGGCUUCAGUGACGUCAACAGCGCGUUCCCCUCAUGCUUACAUUCCAAGUAAGCAGGCAGGCAAAGCAAAGAUUUCUAAACAUGUAAGUGUUAAAGAUAAUUUAACCUCUAUAUUACCAGUCAAUUAAUACAGUUGGGACUCUUCUCAAGUAACUGUCAUAAAGCGGCCAAAUCACACUUCAUAUGGAAAUAAGGCGCCUCCCAUACAGUCAGAGCGCUUCCUGGAA